rnacentral:lncRNA from 1 species
AUUUCAUUUUUUUUUAUCUUGGAAUAAUUACUUAUAUAUCCCUAAAAAAUUUCAUAAUUUUUUAUUUACCCCGCUUAAAAGGCUAAUAUGAAAAAUACGCUUUUAGCAUUACAAUUUUUUUUUUCAAAUAUAUUUGUUUGGUUCGAAAUCGGAAUCGGUAUCGUAAUAGAAAUGAGAAUAAGCUGGAAACAGAAUUAAAAUAAUUCAUUAUCUCAUUCUAUUUGGUUCGUCACCUGAAUCGGAAUCGGAAACAAAUUAAUAUGCCAAUUUUAUCUUUAUAAUAUGUUAGUUUAAAUUCAAGUUAAAAAUUAAAUAUGCAACGACCCGACCGGCCAGCAAUAAUAAUUCAUUGGGCCCAAACCACCGGCUCGUGGCCAGCAAUAAUAACUCAUUGGGCUCAAACUACCGGCACAAAAUGCUUAAACUCAGUUAUUAUGUCUAGCCCAAUCAAGCUAAGCUUAUAUACUCCUACACAAGCGAUGUGAUACUGGUGAACUGACUCUGAUGCCAAAUGUAACGACCCGACCGGCCAGCAAUAAUAACUCAUUCGGCUUAAACCAUUAGCCCAAAAUACUUAAAUCCAGUUAUUAUGUCUAGCCCAAUAAAGCUUAUAUACUCUCAUAUCUAGCAAUAACUGCCCGAUGUGGGACUAUUGGGGUGUUACAAAAUAUCAAAAAUUUAUGUCAAAAUUUUAGAUAUAUUUUUUUAAAAGAAUUAAAUUUUAAAAUUGAAUGGAUAAUUUAAAAUAUAAAACUAAAUUUCAUUUUAUUCAAAUUCAACUUAAAAUUAUAAUUUCAAUUUCAAUUUGAAUCCAUAAAUUUAAUUUAAAUUUUAAAUAAAAUUUGAAUAAAGUUUUAGAUUUUAAAUUUAAAUUUAUAAAUUAGAUUUGAAAUGCUUGAUUAAAUUUUAAUUUUAAUUUAAGUUCGAAUUAAAAUUAAAAUUUAUAAAUAUAAUUUUUAAACUUAAACUUAUGUUUUAAUUAAAAAAUAAGCUUAAAAAAGUUAAAUUUAAUCAACAAAUCUAUUCUGCCCGGAUUCAAUUUCCAAUCCGGCAUCCUAGGUCAAAUUGGAAAAAGGGUUAUUCGUCCAUUCCGAUUUCGAUUCCGUGGUGAAAAAGGAACGAACCAAAUACGCCCUAUUAGUGAACUGUUAGUAACAGUCAUUUUCUUUAUGAAAUUACUAUUUUGCCCAUUCAAAUAUACCCUAAUGCUGUCAUCCACUUUUCUUAUUUGCCCUUGAAAUGUCAAAUACUUUGUCAUUUUUCAAUAAUCACCUUUUUCCCUAAGCUUAGUAAGGCAUGGUAAACCAAAAAAGCAUGAAACUUUUCUGGGGUAUAUAACCAAUUACCAUUUAAAAGGGAUAAUUACCUAUUAGGAAAAUAUGAUAGUAAGUUAGGUAUAAAAGAGAUAUUUUAAUUUUUUUAAUUCCGAUAGAAAUUUAAUUCAGAUUUAUAUGAGAUGACUUAACGGGUACUAACAAUAGGGUUAUUGAUGGAUAACAGAGAAAUAAACAUAAAAUAUUUUAGAAGUUUUUAGCAACAUAUAAGUAAGUAAUUAUCCCUUUUAUGUUUUAGGGCCUAUUAGAAUUCUAUAUAAUUUUGUAGUAUUGAAAUGUUUUUGUAGUAUUAUUAAAAAAAAAAAUUGUCAAUAAUUACAAAAUGGUGUUUUGAUUUUUUUUUUUAAGUAUUGAAAAAUAACAAAAAUGCUCUAGAAAUAUUGGGUAAACUUCAGAUACCAGCCUUGUGGUUUCGCACUUUCUCACUUUAGUACCCUGUGGUUUAAAGUGUAUAUAGUUAGUGUCCUGUGGUUUCAUUUUUAUCAUUUUGUCUCCGUUAAUAUUUCGUUAAAUUAUAUACAAAAAAACUCCAGAUAUUCCACUUAGGUUUAUCGAAUAUUCACUUUAGUACCCUUAGUUUUAACUUUGUCACUAAUUUAACGAAAAAAUUAGUCGAAUUAAUAAUAAAAAGAUAAAAAUGAAACCACAGGAUACUAAAUUGAUACGUGAGAAAGUGUGAAACCACAUGGGUGGUAUUUGAAGUUUUUCCUUUUAAAUUUAUUGUAAAAGUGAAAAAAAACUCAAACCUUCUGAAAUCUCUACAUCUGCAUGCUAGAAUUUGCUGAAUAAAUACUCAUAGUAUAUAUAAUUCUCUUACAGUAAAUGUAAUGAUUCGGCCCACUAACAAUAAUAAUUCGUUAGGUCUAAACUACCAAUCCAAAAUAUUUAAGCUCAAUUAUUAUUAUUAGUAUUCAUGGUCAUUUAUAUAUAUGAUUAUAAUUGCACGCUUAUCAGAUAUGAAACU